rnacentral:rRNA from 1 species
GUGGGGAAUAUUGCACAAUGGGCGCAAGCCUGAUGCAGCAACGCCGCGUGAACGAAGAAGGUCUUCGGAUUGUAAAGUUCUGUCCUUAGGGAAGAAGGAAGUGACGGUACCUAAGGAGGAAGCCCCGGCUAACUACGUGCCAGCAGCCGCGGUAAUACGUAGGGGGCAAGCGUUAUCCGGAAUGAUUGGGCGUAAAGAGUACGUAGGUGGUUUUGUAAGCGCGGGGUGAAAGGCAGUGGCUUAACCAUUGUAAGCCUUGCGAACUGCGAGACUUGAGUGCAGGAGAGGAAAGCGGAAUUCCUAGUGUAGCGGUGAAAUGCUUAGAUAUUAGGAGGAACACCAGUGGCGAAGGCGGCUUUCUGGACUGUAACUGACACUGAGGUACGAAAGCGUGGGGAGCAAACAGG